AUACGGAGGGGACUAGCGUUGUUCGGAAUUACUGGGCGUAAAGAGUUCGUAGGCGGACUGAUAAGUAAGAGGUGAAAUCCCAGGGCUCAACCCUGGAACUGCCUUUUAAACUGUCAGUCUAGAGACCGGAAGAGGUUAGGGGAAUACCUAGUGUAGAGGUGAAAUUCGUAGAUAUUAGGUGGAACACCAGUGGCGAAGGCGCCUAACUGGUCCGGUACCGACGCUGAGGAACGAAAGCGUGGGGAGCAAACAGGAUUAGAAACCCCAGUAGUCC
rnacentral:rRNA from 1 species